CACAUUAUAUUAUGUUUUAUGUUUUGUUGUAUAGAUUUUCCCCCUUUUUACAAUAAAUGUAUCUUUUUUCACUAAAGUUGAAAUUGUUGUACACCUUGUUUCUUUGAAACACUAAAAUCAUUUUAACAACCAGCAAAUUAAUAUCUUUACCAAAAGGCUUCCCCUUAUAAAAAAUCUAAACUUUGACUACUAAAUAAUUCUAUUCUCUGUCUUACAGCCCUCUGAGGGUCCUUAGGCAACAAGUCCAGCUACUACAUCAAAAAGUAUGAUUCAAUUAGGAAAAUGUGAUUCAUGUUAACUUCUUGAUCCAACCAAUAAACCAUUUUGUGAGAUUCUAUCUUAUUAGUAUUAUCUUUUCCUUUUAUAGCUGUUAUCAAAUAACAUCAUGGGUUUGUAUUCUCAGUAACUCAUGAGUUCUAAAGUACAAAAAAAAGACUAAAAUUUGGAGCAUAAACCAUGGAAUUUCUUAAUGGUCUGAAUUACUGGAGUUUAUUCGGCUGGGGCGAAUGAAAGGGUGAAUGAAAGACACAUACUGUACUUUCAGAUGUAUUAAGCAGUUUUCUCGGGAAAUUGGUCA
rnacentral:lncRNA from 1 species